GCCGGGCGCAGUGGCACAUGCCUGUAGUCCCAGCUACUCGGGAGGCUGAGGUGGGAGGAUCGCUUAAGCCCAGGAGUUCUGGGCUGUAGUGUACUAUGCCGAUCGGGUGUCCACACUAAGUUUGGCAUCAAUAUGGUGACCUCCCAGGAGCGGAGGACCACCAGGUUGCCUAAGGAGUGGUGAACGGGCCCAGGGUGGAAACUGAGCAGGUCAAAACUCCUGUGCUGAUUGGUAGUGGAAUUGCACCUGUGAAUAGCCACUGUACUCCAGCCUGGGCAACACAGCGAGACCCCGUCCCUA
ensembl:misc_RNA Metazoa_SRP Metazoan signal recognition particle RNA